CCUACGGGAGGCAGCAGUGGGGAAUAUUGCACAAUGGGGGAAACCCUGAUGCAGCGACGCCGCGUGAGUGAAGAAGUAAUUCGUUACGUAAAGCUCUAUCAGCAGGGAAGAAAUACUGACCUUACGGUCAGCAGACGGUACCUGAGUAAGAAGCCCCGGCUAACUACGUGCCAGCAGCCGCGGUAAUACGUAGGGGGCAAGCGUUAUCCGGAUUUACUGGGGGUAAAGGGAGCGGAGACGGUGAUGCAAGCCAGAUGUGAAAGCCCGCGGCUCAACUGCGGUAGUGCAUUUGGAACUGUAUGGCUGGAGUGCAGGAGAGGCAGGCGGAAUUCCUAGUGUAGCGGUGAAAUGCGUAGAUAUUAGGAGGAACACCAGUGGCGAAGGCGGCCUGCUGGACUGUAACUGACGUUGAGGCUCGAAAGCGUGGGGAGCAAACAGGAUUAGAUACCCGGGUAGUC
rnacentral:rRNA from 1 species